GACGAACGCUGGCGGCGUGCCUAACACAUGCAAGUCGAACGGAGUAAUUUCUUCGGAGAUUACUUAGUGGCGAACGGGUGAGUAACGCGUGAGAAACCUGCCUUUCAGUGGGGGACAACAGCUGGAAACGACUGCUAAUACCGCAUAAUGUUAUUUGGGGGCCUCCCUGCAUAACCAAAGCUUUAUGUGCUGAAAGAUGGUCUCGCGUCUGAUUAGCUAGAUGGCGGGGUAAGGGCCCACCAUGGUGACGAUGAGUAGCCGGUCUGAGAGGAUGAACGGCCACAAUGGGACUGAGAUACGGCCCAGACUCCUACGGGAGGCAGCAGUGGGGAAUAUUGGGCAAUGGGGGAAACCCUGACCCAGCAACGCCGCGUGAAGGAAGAAGGCCUUCGGGUUGUAAACUUCUUUUACCAGGGACGAAGAACGUGACGGUACCUGGAGAAAAAGCAACGGCUAACUACGUGCCAGCCGCCGCCGUAAAAC
rnacentral:rRNA from 1 species